UAUCAAUAAGCGGAGGAAAAGAAACCAACAGGGAUUGCCCUAGUAACGGCGAGUGAAGCGGCAACAGCUCAAAUUUGAAAUCUGGCGCAAGCCCGAGUUGUAAUUUGUAGAGGAUGCUUCUGGGCAGCGGCCGGUCUAAGUUCCUUGGAACAGGACGUCACAGAGGGUGAGAAUCCCGUAUGUGACCGGCGCGCACCCUCCACGUAGCUCCUUCGACGAGUCGAGUUGUUUGGGAAUGCAGCUCUAAAUGGGAGGUAAAUUUCUUCUAAAGCUAAAUACCGGCCAGAGACCGAUAGCGCACAAGUAGAGUGAUCGAAAGAUGAAAAGCACUUUGGAAAGAGAGUUAAAAAGCACGUGAAAUUGUUGAAAGGGAAGCGCUUGCAACCAGACUCCGCGGCGGUGUUCCGCCGGUCUUCUGACCGGUCUACUCGCCGCCGCGGGGCCAACAUCGUCUGGGGCCGCCGGACAAGACUGGAGGAAUGUGGCUCCCUCGGGAGUGUUAUAGCCCUCAGUGAUGCGGCGUGCCCCGGGCGAGGUCCGCGCUUCGGCAAGGAUGUUGGCGUAAUGGUUGCCAGCGGCCCGUCUUGAAACACGGACCAAGGAGUCUAACAUCUAUGCGAGUGUUCGGGUGUCAAACCCCUACGCGUAAUGAAAGUGAACGGAGGUGGGAGCUUCGGCGCACCAUCGACCGAUCCUGAUGUCCUCGGAUGGAUUUGAGUAAGAGCAUAGCUGUUGGGACCCGAAAGAUGGUGAACUAUGCCUGAAUAGGGUGAAGCCAGAGGAAACUCUGGUGGAGGCUCGCAGCGGUUCUGACGUGCAAAUCGAUCGUCAAAUUUGGGUAUAGGGGCGAAAGACUAAUCGAACCAUCUAGUAGCUGGUUCCUGCCGAU
rnacentral:rRNA from 1 species